GCGGGCCGUGAGAGCGGGAGCCCGGAGAUGGGCACUGAGACAAGGGCCCAGGCCCUACGGGGCGCAGCAGUCGCGAAAACUUUGCAAUACACGAAAGUGUGACAGGGCUAUCCCGAGUGCCAUCCGCUGAGGAAGGCUUUUACCCAGUCUAGAACGCUGGGGGAAUAAGGAGAGGGCAAGUCUGGUGUCAGCCGCCGCGGUAAUACCAGCUCUUCGAGUGGUGUGGAUGUUUAUUGGGCCUAAAGCAUCCGUAGCUGGCUGAGUUA
rnacentral:rRNA from 1 species